GACGAACGCUGGCGGCGUGCCUAAUACAUGCAAGUAGAACGCUGAAGAGAGGAGCUUACUCUUCUUGGAUGAGUUGCGAACGGGUGAGUAACGCGUAGGUAACCUGCCUUGUAGCGGGGGAUAACUAUGGGAAACGAUAGCUAAUACCGCAUAACAAUGGAUGACACAUGGCAUUUAUUUGAAAGGGGCAAUUGCUCCACUACAAGAUGGACCUGCGUUGUAUUAGCUAGUAGGUGAGGUAAUGGCUCACCUAGGCGACGAUACAUAGCCGACCUGAGAGGGUGCUCGGCCCCCCUGGGACUGGGACACGGCCCAGACUCCUUCGGGAGGCAGCCGUAGGGGAUCUUCGGCCAUGGGGGCAACCCUGACCGAGCAACGCCGCGUGAGUGGAGGAGGUUUUCGGGUCGUUAAGCUCUGUUGUAUGUCAAGAACGGGUGUGAGAGUUGAAAGUUCACACUGUGACGGUAGCUUACCAGAAAGGGACGGCUAACUACGUG
rnacentral:rRNA from 1 species